rnacentral:misc_RNA from 1 species
GUCCAAUUAAUCUCUCGGAUGACUUUGUAGUAGUCUGUGAUGCGGCAUUAGACACACUUGAUAAUGAUGCACUUGGUGAAAUGCUGGGUGAUGAAACUGGCGAGAGUGUACUGUUAUCUUUUUCAGUAAGAUCCAUGCUUCCUGAUAAGGUUCUAGUGCCAUCUGAUGCAGCUGUUGUUAUUGGUGACACCCUUCUUGAUAUUGCCAAGGAUGAGAGUUUGAGAUCUUUACGAACACCGACCUUUUUGGACACAUCAUCUGCACCGUUACAAGGUGACUUUCUUGGUGAUUCCCCUUGUGAUGACAUUGACGAAGAGACCAGC